rnacentral:rRNA from 1 species
GAUGAACGCUGGCGGCGUGCUUAACACAUGCAAGUCGAACGAUGACCUCCAGCUUGCUGGGGUGAUUAGUGGCGAACGGGUGAGUAACACGUGAGUAACCUGCCCUUAACUCUGGGAUAAGCCUGGGAAACUGGGUCUAAUACCGGAUAUGACUCCUCAUCGCAUGGUGGGGGGUGGAAAGCUUUUUGUGGUUUUGGAUGGACUCGCGGCCUAUCAGCUUGUUGGUGAGGUAAUGGCUCACCAAGGCGACGACGGGUAGCCGGCCUGAGAGGGUGACCGGCCACACUGGGACUGAGACACGGCCCAGACUCCUACGGGAGGCAGCAGUGGGGAAUCUUGCGCAAUGGGCGAAAGCCUGACGCAGCGACGCCGCGUGAGGGAUGACGGCCUUCGGGCUGUAAACCUCUUUCUAGCUCCGACGAAGCGAAAGUGACGGUAGGAGCAGAAGAAGCACCGGCC